rnacentral:rRNA from 1 species
CCUACGGGUGGCAGCAGUGAGGAAUAUUGGUCAAUGGGCGGGAGCCUGAACCAGCCAAGUCGCGUGAGGGAAGACGGUCCUAUGGAUUGUAAACCUCUUUAGGCGGGGAGCAAUGCCUGGCACGCGUGCCCGUAGGGAGAGUACCCGCAGAAUAAGCAUCGGCUAACUCCGUGCCAGCAGCCGCGGUAAUACGGAGGAUGCGAGCGUUAUCCGGUUUGAUUGGGUUUAAAGGGUGCGUAGGCGGAUUUUUAAGUCAGCGGUAAAAUGUCCGGGCUCAACCCGGGCCGGCCGUUGAAACUGGGGAGCUUGAGUGGGGGAGAAGGAGGCGGAAUGCGAGGGGUAGCGGUGAAAUGCAUAGAUAUCACGAAGAACUCCGAUUGCGAAGGCAGCAUACCGGAGCCCGACUGACGCUGAGGCGCGAAAGCGUGGGGAUCGAACAGGAUUAGAUACCCGAGUAGUC